rnacentral:rRNA from 1 species
AUUGAACGCUGGCGGCGUGCCUAACACAUGCAAGUCGAGCGGUAACAGGUGUAGCAAUACAUGCUGACGAGCGGCGAACGGGUGAGUAAUGCUUCGGAAUCUACCUUAUGGUGGGGAAUAACUAGCCGAAAGGUUAGCUAAUACCGCAUACGUCCUACGGGAGAAAGCAGGGGAUCGCAAGACCUUGCGCCAAAAGAUGAGCCGAAGUCGGAUUAGCUAGUUGGUAGGGUAACGGCCUACCAAGGCGACGAUCCGUAGCUGGUCUGAGAGGACGACCAGCCACACUGGGACUGAGACACGGCCCAGACUCCUACGGGAGGCAGCAGUGGGGAAUAUUGGACAAUGGGGGAAACCCUGAUCCAGCGACGCCGCGUGUGUGAAGAAGGCCUGCGGGUUGUAAGGCACUUUUAGUGGGGAUGAAAUGUGCAGGGUUAAUACCUCUGCAUUUUGACCUAACCCACAGAAAAAGCACCGGCUAACUCUGUGCCAGCCGCCGCGGUAA